GAGGAAACACAAUAAAGCACUCUUUUUAACAGGUGGCAGUAAAGACACUUACUUGGAUGUUUUUUCUAAGCAAAACUUCCACCUGUUCACGGAGGGAGUUUGGGUUCAAAGUGGUACAACGUUUGGCUGUGGCCCUUGGCUGGGCUCCGGCAGGCGGGGAGGGGCAGCAGCUGAGAGAACAGCAGGCCCCACCUGACCGGGGCCAAUCGCCUGCAGAACCCGCUGCACGUGGAGAAAGCCCGGAACCCGCAGCGCCCGCACCCGCCCGGCGGGCAGGCACACAACCCACCCGGGCAGCGCGGGCCGGCGGCACGCGGGCCUUUGUCCGCGCGACUGCGAGGACCGUUAGGACCGUUAGCCAUCUCAGCUGCCUGCCCGGCGCCAGAGGCUGCGAGCCCGUCCUGCUGCCCGCCGCUUCAUGGGAAGAGACUGAGGGGCUGCUGCUUUGAAGCUUGCAAGGUUUAACUCCUAUCAUGGAAAGAAUAAAAGUCAAAAACCCUGGAAACAUCAAACUUUUGAUUACUUUUCUAACAAGGUCCAAGGAUAUUCUUCUGCCAUAAAUCCCUGCCACAUGUCAGACUUUUUCAUCUGCAGGUUGAAGUUAUUCAUAGCCAGGAGGAAAGGAGGUAUUAGUGACUUGUGUGAUGAACCUUCAAAGGAAGUGAUCAUCUCCUUGGACUUGAUGAAAACUAGAACCCCCUGAGUCCUGCAAUAGCCCUUGGGAAGAGAAAAGUUUUGCUAACUGAAACAAGUGAAGUGGAAGCCUUCUGCCAUUAUCAGAAAUCAAGUAUUAUGGGAGAAGAGGAUGGAAAGCUUGCUCAAGGAGAGACUAGCGAAGGAAGAACAAAAGAAUCCUGGAUGUCUGCUAGAAGGCUUAACACAUAGGAGAAAAGACGGCUAUGUGAGCUAAAAAAAUGUGGGAAUAAUAACAAAUGUUUAUUAAUGAGAAUAAAUUUAGCCUGCAAAACUGGAAGAUGUUUUAACACAGUUCUAGAAGUGCAUUCCCAUAGGAUUAGGUAAGGAGAAAAAGCUGUGUUCCCUUCAAAAUCUGUAACAGGAUUAUAUGAUCCUAUGUCUCUGGAAGCAGGGAUUGCCUUAGAUACACAGAAAACCCCAUUAGAUUAAUGCUUCCAAUUCAUUAAAAAUUCUAAAGGUUUCUGAAUUUUUAAAGUGAAAUAAGUGGAGAAUAAAUGGCACAGCUAUUAAGCCAAGAGGCAGACUAAUUUUUUUUCUUUGCAUUAUAUGGCUACAUAUAGACUAAAAAUUGUACUAGUAUAUUAGUGUUUUGUUAUUUUAUUAAACUCUUGUUUAUCUCAAUCCAAGUUUCUCCCUUCCCUUUCAAUUCUAUCCCAUUUGGGAAGGGGGGUUAGUGAGCAGCUAUCGUGGUUGUAUUGCUAGUUUGGGUUAAACCACAACAUACUUGAAAAAUAUAUUGUCUGCAUUGUGAUUCCAUUCCUAUUCCUUCCUGAAAUGCUCUGAUGCAGCUAAGUCAAUUUUUAAUUGGAGCAAUGAGCUGGAAUGGAACACUAGAAAACUUUGGUUUUUUUGUUAAAUUGUCCUGGUUUGUUUUUUGGUUUGGUUUGGUUUUCUUAAUACUAGGGUAUUUGCUCUGCAAUAUUAAAACUUUGAACUGUUUGUGUGUAUGGUUCAUACUGAUAAUAACUGGGCUAAAUGAGGCAACGAUAAAGAUUUCCGCACAUCAGCUAAAUCUAAAACGACAUCUGAAGGGUAAAAGCUUUGUACCAUUACAGAUAAUCGCCAAAUUCUUCAUUAUUCCAAUAUGGAUGGUAUUCACUGUCUAGAAUAUAUUUUCUAUCAUACAUGGAUACGUACAAAAUAGACAAUUUUUGAUGCAUCCAGUCUUCCAUAGUGUAUGUAUUUGAAUGCUGGUCCUUUAAAUAUAGGAAAGAAAGUAAAAUUAAUGCAGUACAGCAAACCAUAGAAAGCAGUUGCUAUGUACUGUGAAAUAAGUAUCUGGUCACAGGUCCAGGUUAGAUAAAAAGAAAAAAAGUCAAACUUACCAGCAAAUUCCAGGGUUUUGUGGGAGUUUUGUGAUGAAGUAGCUUUUACCCGAGCUAUGCCAUUUUAAAAAAGAAAAAUUUGGUAUUUUGGUAGGAUGUGUUCAUUUCAGCAAUGCUUCAUUUUAAAAACAGGAAUUGAGGAAGAAGCAUGGUAAAGUCCUUGCACUAAAGCUCUGAGCCACCUCACCUAAGCAAACUUCUCCAACAUGGAAAAAGUAAUUUUCAGUAUAAAUAUACCAAAUAGAAAAAUAAUAUUGAUAAUAAAUAUAUUUAUAAAUAUUAAUAUCACACUGAAUAUAAAAAUCAAUAAAAUUGGAAAAUUUAAAAAGUACUAAACAAAUUAGAAAUGGUUUUGUGUAUUGAGCUGAAAGAUUUCGAGCAAUUCCUGGUUUUAUUUCAUUCUGUAAAUACAUUGUUUUACUCAGUUUUGGAAAACUUCAGGAAAUACAGAUUUUCCUCCAAAACAUAAAAUUCUAUUCUUGACCACCUCUAGUAACUAGCAAUAAGUAUCUCAAUAUUAAUUUGUGCGUACCACCUCUAAAAUGUGCUGCCCAAAUGUUUGGGUUUUAUUCAUAUCUGAUCAGCUAAAACAUCCAUUUACUUUGUAAAGAUCCACUGAACAGGUUUUCAAAAAUAAAAUGGGCCAGCAGAUAUUCACUCAGUCAAUUUUCAGAAAGGUUUUUGAAUCAGAAACACUGAUAUUUCUUCAGUUACUGACUUAGCACAAUGUGUCAUUGGGUGAAAAACAGAAAAGGGGUGAAAUCUCCUUGGUGUUCUUUGGAACAGAGGCAGAUGGCUCCCAUCUCCCUGAAGUAGUUUUGUUUUCCACCUCUUCUCUCAAAAGGGAAAUUUGUUAACACUGUGACAAAAACAAACUACACAGAAUAGCAAGUUCAGGCACUUCAGGAGAAAUUGACAUACUGUUUUAAAGUAGAAUGGUACUUUCUUGGGAACUCAAAUGUUUAUAGGAUUAUAAAAUGCGUGGGAUGACACCAGGAUAUAUAUAUAUAUAUAUCCAAAAUAUUUACAAGCAAAAUUGCUUUCAAACUUUUAGGGGGGGAAAACAAAGCAAAACAAAUUCCUUUAUGUGGCCUGAUCUAAGUCGCUGAUGUAAGUAAUAAGCAGUGCUGAAAUCUGAAUCCCUCACAGUUUUCUACUGCAGUUUUCUAUGACUACGGAAUGAUAUCUCAUACUUUUGCUAAUACAGAUGAAAACCAGAGUUCCAUGGGACUAUGACUGGCCUUCCCAGCUAUUUGGUAACAAGCACAGACAUGGAGACAUCUGAGAACUUUUAGUUAUACUCUGGGCUCAGGAAAAUCAGAUUUUAUGGUGGGCACAGGCCCAGUUCUAUUUCCUUAUAAAAAAAAAACUCCUUUGUAUAAUUGCUUUUCUGUUCCCAUUCUUUGUGUUUCUGCAGAGUUUCCAUCUUUAACUACUCGGUUCAUCACCUCUUCACCUGUUACUUACAACUGGGCUUUACUCUCUACUGACACCUGAUCUCUUUCCUCCAAAUAUCCCCAUCCAAACUCUCUGUGGCCGCAGCAGGUUCUCCUCAUCUUCCUUCUGUAUAAAGUCAGGGAAGAUCUGCAUGGCCCAACUGAAAGCAGAGAAAAGCCAGCAUCUCCAUUUCACUAUCAGUUGCUAACAGGUUACAAAAAUAAUAGUCUCACUUAGGGUGGGUUGGAUAGGAGACUGCCCAGUAAGAGCAGUCCUGAAUUUCGACUAGGUUGUAAGGGAACUAGACUGUAAGGGAAAAAUCACUCUUUUUCAUGGAAGGUGUGUGUUUGUGAAUCAUUUUGGCAUGAUAAGAGCAGUAAAGAGUUCUAUCUGUUCUUCAGAUCACAACAUGGAUUUCCUAGACUAGAACUGACUGUAAGGAGGAGCUAGUAUCAACCAGCCAUGCCAACUACAUUAGCAACAGCUAAACUAACAUUACAUUAGGACCUAGGUUUAAGCAUUUCCUCCUUAAGUUGUGGUUAAUUUUGGCUUGGCAUGCAUCUACCUAACACUGAAGUUAAUAAUCAUAACUUGGGGCUUGUCAUACAUAAGGUUACUCUAGUAGUUCAGUAGCUUUAGAUGAUAAAGCUCAUUUGCUUAGCUGGUAAUAACUUUUCUCAGGCCUAGUCAUUUGUACUAUGAUUGAUAAUCUGGGGAUUAUGGAUAAUCAAUGAAGCCUCUCAGAGAACCUAAGUUACCCAAUACAAGACAUUAUUGUAUCAUUCAAUAACAAGCUGGGGGGAGGGGAGGAGAGAGAAAGAACAGAAAUGUUUGAAGUAAUUUCCAGAAAAAAAGCUAUGAACCUGUAUUCAAUGAGUUUAGGGUAAGGCCAUAAAAUAAGAUCAUUUCAAAUUGAUUUGACAGCUAUAUAAAAUGUAAAUUUUUUUUUUUUUUAAUUGGCAUUUUCAGCAGGCAUUUCAAAAUAAUUUAAAAUUCCUUAAGACAUAAGCACUGAACCAACAUUUGUGCAUGAAGGAGUCCCACUUAACUCAGGACCUGUCAUUUGUACACAGAGAUGAGCGAUCUUUAAAAAUAUUUUUCCAAAUCCCUUAUUUUUUCUGGUUUUGUUGUCCAGCUUUCUCAACAGAAAGCACAGCUGAAGCCAUGCUUCUGCUGCAGUGACGGUGCUAUCCCAGAACACACAUGCAAUUAACAACAGAAAAUAUCACCUUACAGUAUUUUUCAGCGCAGGUCCUUUUGUCCUCUACACAAGUCACUAGCUGUUGGAGAUUUCUUGGCGGGGUGGGGGGAGGACAGGGUGUUUGUCUGGUGUGUGUUUCCCCUGUCCCUGUGUCUCUUCUGCAGAAGUUUCCAGUAUUGUUUGCCUUUCAAACUGUUACAGCCCAUCUUCAAGGAGAACUUUAAAAACCUGAUCACAGCUGCAGCUGAAGCAAUGCAGAAAUCCCCUCGAGCUAUCUGCAGUUCUUCUGUCAGCACCCUCAGUGUCAGUCCUCUCCAGAGAGACUUGUAACAAAACUUAAGUCAACACACAAGAGCUCAAAGGGGAAAGCUCUCUGCAUGGGAUGAUGUUUACUUAGGGAAUAAGCACUCCUUUGUCACACUGGAACCCAGAAAUUCAGAAGCAGAUACAUUCCAUUAAGUUUAAUUUUAUAGCAAUUCUGAGUAUGCACAGCACAACUACAGUUCUUCAUUUCCAUGUGACUGAAUUACGUAGAAGCCACUGAAGACAGAUAUAUGUAUUUAUAGAACCAAACCAAAAUAAACAAAAAACCCAUGUACAUACUGUUGAAAUAUUUUGUGAUUUAAUCUGUUUAUUUAACCAUGAUUCAUUGAGAUAUUUAAGGGACAAGGUAUUUGCAAACUAUUAGGAAGAAGUUCAGUACACUACAGAACAUUAGAGGUCACAGUAUCAAUACCGAAAUCAAAGCUACUGUAACGGCAACUUACAGAGAACAAAGAUUGCUCCUUAAGCUAAAAAAUAUUCUAGAAGACUAAAAGAUUUCAGAAAAAUGAUAAAAUCUUUAGGAAUAGAAAAGCAAAGCACAGCAAAAGAUUUGUUAAGCAAGCAAAAAUCAACUAAGGCGGCAAGAAGAAUCAUGGAUUACCUCUGGUUAGACACAGGAGAAAGACUGGGGUACGUAUAAAUUUGGGAUGAAACUAAUACUGAGUAUACAAUAACACUUCAGUAAAAAUAUCUCUAGAAAUAUCUAAAAAUAGAGAAUAGACAAUAGAAAUAAUAUGGUUUUUUAAAAAGUACUUUAGAAAGUCUACUCCAUCUACAGGGUGUUUCAAAAAGAUGGACCCAGUUUGAAACCACUAUGCUUUGAAAUUGAUCUUUUUGAUACACCCUGUAUAUUGGCCUAGAACAUCAAUAAACACAUGUAUAUUCAUCUAUCUGCAGUAAAGGGGAUUUUUAAUAUAAAGUAAGAAGUGUCAAUAACAUCUUCAAUUGUUUGCAGUCAAAGCCUAAUAUAUUUUAUUCACAGAUUAAAAUAUUUAAACUUUAUUAUGUUAAUAUUCUGAACACAGCAUCUUAAAGAUGUGAAAUUCUGUUUUCUAGUAAGAGUUCUGAGGGUGAUAUACUGGAUAAAGAACAGGAAUGAUGCUGACAGGAGGCCUUGUCAGGCUCAAACUUGCUGUUAAGGUCAGUGAUUAGCUUGACAAUUCAAUGCCUUAAAAAAACCUGUAUUGUCUAACUGUGGAGAAGUUCUGGCCAAGUCCUUCAAUAGAUGGCCAGGAACUGAAGGAACCUGGCCUCAGAAAGGACUGUGAACAGCUGAGAUUUCUAGAAAAGAAGCCUGAAUGAUUCAGAAAACAAUUUCAAUAUAAUUAUAUGGAAAGGAGUAAAACGGAUUAUUACAACAAAAUAGUUUAAAAAGCAGGUGAAGGAAUAGGCAUGAAUUAAGUUUCUCCUGCUGUGUUACCAUCUAUGCAUUAUUUAUAAACUACUUAUUAUUUUAUAAUAAUGCAUUAUAAUUUAAUAAUUAUGUAUUACAUGGAAAACACAUGCACUAAUCUUUUACACCAAUUUUGUGUCUCUGAAAUAUAAAUGUCUUAAAACUAUCUGAAUGUAUAUGACCUCAAUCUAGGAAGGUGGAUUUCACUAGUGCUGUCCAAGAGAAAUACAUCUAAGAUAUAUUCAAUACCUGGGCAGAGAUUCAAGAACCAUCCGGCAGUUAGGUAUCGGUUAAAGGCCAGUCACCUCGUCUACCUCCGUAGCCAACUGAAUGAGAUACUUCAAGAUGGCGAUUUCUUGUAUCCUAUGUUUGCCUUCUAUGAAGAAGGUCUCCUUUCCCAGCAGCACUGUGCUGGCUGACUGCCUUAGACACCUGCUUUUUAGGCAAAUGAAGAUAAGGGAGGUGAACUCCAGCUCUAUGACAAAGAAAGUUCUGUUCACAUUUGUAGAUUCCUUUCCUCAUGUAUGCAGGAGAAAAACUAACCAAACCUGGGCGUGUAUCUAUCUUGAAUCACAUUUGUUUGGCUGGUUUUGGUAAAUCUUACCUCAAGAAAUGCCUCUUCUCAAAAGUUGAAAUGAAAGGUAUUCAAAAAAUUUCCAGCACCCGCACACGGACAUUUCAAACAUGAUCCAGCCUGGUAUUCAGAAAGUCCAAGUUUGCUGUUUAUUUUCCAUGCUUCUUGGGCAAUCUUCAAAGCACCAAUAUUUGAUCAAUAUUCAGAGAGUAUAUAUUCCUUUCUUAGAAAGACAGUGUUUUCUGUGCAGGAAGCCUGAAAAAUAUGCCAAUUGGAAGAGAGUAUUUCCUCAUCAAUGUAAUGACACAAACCAAAACAUUUUACUGCUGUUUCCAUACAGUAAAACAAUAGUACCUAUGUUCUUGCUGAUUAUCAAUACCUUUGUUAUGGAACUUAAGCAUAUUUUUGUUUUGAUUCAGCAAAUUUUUCUAUUCUUCCCCAAACUGAGUCAAAUAUUGACAUAUUAAAUCACACUCAAAUGUUCAGUCUGGGUUUGUCUGCUGAUAGGCCCCCACAGCGCUACAGAAAACAGUAACUCCCCUUCUAUUCAGCACUGGGAAGUGAAGUCUCUGCACAGACACACGUCCUUCUCCUCAGCUCCAGCGAAGCUCAAGAGUGAAACAGCCCGAGCCUGUGGGAACAUUCACGGCUCAAGAGCAACGACAGAAAACACCAAGACCAAAACUGACAGAUUUUGAAAUGUCACUGUUAAAGCUUCAUAGCUUCCCCCCCCCCUUUUUGUUGUUUUUCUUCUCCAAAGUUUAGAAAAUAAAGAUACAUUACACAGACAAAUGAAAAUGAAAAGGACUGGUUAUCCAUGUUUACUGUUAGAAGGAGGAGGAAAAGAAAAAAAAAAACAACACAACAACCCACCCCAGAAAGAAAACUGUAAUACUGCUUCGAAUUUUCCAUGCGAUUUGAUUUAAACUUAACAUCUUUAUUUGUAUUUAUUUAUCAUAUUUGGAAGAACUAAAAAUCAUUCUCUUUUAAAACCUAUUAAACUGAAAUAACUUUAAUUUUUAAACUUUUUUUCCUCCACUUGAACUGUUGAAAUAAAUUCUGAAAUAAAUUUGGAAGAAUUUAGAAGAAAAAAAUGCCAAUGCACUUUCCAGGUUCUGUGAGCAUGAGUGGAGACCAUUUCAAUCUCCAGACAUUUCUGGAAAGAAUUACUGCCUUUUCAUUUUCAGAUAUUAAAAAAAUCAUCUCCAGUAGGUUGCAAUUCCUACUCUACAUAUUGCUUCCAGAAAGAUCGGUUUCUGUAUAAAUCAAAUAACUUUGAAAGUCGGGUUUUAUUGUGACUCCAAAAAGCAGCAACACAAAAAAAGGUAUUUUGCAAACCUGCAAUACCUGUAUUUCUAUUUCCAAUUAAAACCUGUCUUGUAUUUAAUACUGCACUAUACAGACUGGUUUUGAAUUGCUACAAUUACACAUCUGAAUAUGGAUAUAAUGGAAAUGGGGCAAUCAGAGACAAAGAGUUUUCCAAAAUUUUAUAAAUAGCAAGUUUAUAUCAACAGAUGUGCUGAGAGUGGGUUGUUUGGUGUUUUUUUUAAUAAAGUAAUCCUGAAAUUUAAAAAGACUUAUUGUAUGAUUUGCAGACUCUUCAUAUAAUACUCAGUUACACUGGCAUUGGUUCAUUGUAAUGGCCUUGUAAAAUUAUUUACUAGAUUUAGAAAUGUUAAUGUCCACAGCUUAACCCACGCUUUCCUGAACUGUCCUUUAUUUAUCAUAUCUAUCAAACUACACGGAAGUGUUCCAGGGAUUUUUGUUUGGUUUAAUUUUACAGCAAUGUAAUAUCUAAAAUCGUUGCAUUUCUGCAGGUGGGGCAAUCCUUGUACAUACAGAGACUUGUGCUUAAUGAAACAGUAAUUGGCAUUGUACUAUCCAAUACAAGACGCUAGAAUGAACGGGGGGUGUUGCUUGUGGCACCCUAACACUGCUUUGGAAAUGGAAUGGAGCCCUCUGUUCCCUAUUUGAGUUCUGUGGCCAAGACUUAGAGGAGCCCGUGAGCCUAUCACAUCAGAUACAUGUGUAUCUUAGGAUAAUUUGUCUUCUACUAAAAUGGCUGCUGUACUUGUUUGUAUGGGAAACCAACUUCUCAUUAUUUCCUUAACAGAUGGAGCCUAUAGAAUAGACACAGACAGUGUGAAUUGCUUUGGUGCUAUAUUCACCAGGGCUUAAACUGAAAUAGAAUGAAUUUUCAGAUUCACUGUAUUUUUUAAAAAUCUGUUUUCCUUCAUAUUUAGGCUAUUCUCUCCUCUCCUCUCCUCAAAAUCACCAUGUGUUUUCCCAACUUAUAAUCUUGUUCAUUACGUACAAAUGUUUACAUCAUAAAACUUGAGUCGUAUGAUGAAAAUUUGUAACAGUGCUUUUAUAGCAGCUAUUACAACAGCUUUAGAAUGAAUGCUUAGCUCAAGGCUAGAGAACAGCAAUUAUUCAGCUGGAUUUAUUGGGAAGAUGCAAAGUCUCCCUUACAGUUGCUUUAGCAAAACAAUUAUUGGACAAUAGAGAACAUUAGAAAGAAGGGAGCCUGAACAAGAAUCAUGUGUUUUUAAAGUGCCUUACAGACAAAUUGUUUUAUUUUAUCAAAAGCCUGAGAAGGGACUUGACUAGUGUAAGUACCAUCAUGAGAAGAAAACACAGGAUCUUUAAGGAAGCAGAGAAAAGCUUCAUAUGAGUCAUUUGAACAGAUAUUUGAAAAAAGUUUAAAUCUGAAGGGUUAAUUAAUAGACUAAAUCACCUAAUGUGUUUAGGCCCCUUCUUCAGCUAACCUGUCACAGUAGUGGGAACCAUCCAUCGUCCCCCAGGAUGACCUUAAAUGAGAAGCUUGUCUGCCAAAACAAAGAUUAUGUCCUUCUUUCUAGGAAAAAAUCAGAUCACCAAGAUCUUAGGUCCAGUAUUGGGAUCAAUAAAGUUUUAUAAAGAUAAAUGAACUCGUCAUUUUUUAUACAUGUAGCUUUUUUUUUUUUUUGGUCUGAAGUAGUGUAGAAAACACAGCAACUGGUAAAUUCAGUGGAAAGAUCACCACUGUGGCAAAUGUGUGCAUAUGCAUAGCUUUAAGUUCAUUUCACUUAAAAUUAGUGACAAUUAGUAGACAGUGCUAGAUAUGCAUUAACACAUAGAUUAGUAUGUAUACAUUAGUACAAUGUAUUAUUGCAUCCUGGCCCCAUUAUUUACUUGCUCUAUAGAACUCCAGUGCAGAGCACAACUGCUAUUUCACUUAUGCUUUUCAAUUGUGCUACUUUGCUUGGUCUCUGCAUUGAAUCACGGUCUCUGUUACAACUCCUGUCCUAAACACAACUGAAUACGUAUCAUUAGGAGAAUUUUCAUUGCAUAUAUGCAAUGGUUCCGCAUUCCCUAAAGAAAAAACUGUGAAUCCAAAUUAAGAGAAUUAAUUCUGAUUUUGAAGGUCACCUUAUGUCAAUGCUAAUUACUACUUGAUUAUGUGGAUUUGGGGGGCUUCAUAAUGAUAACAGUACAUUUCCUGUUGAAGUGUCACAUUUUGAAGGACUGCAGUAAUACAAUGCAAUCACAACAGCAGAUGUAGUUUACUCAGUCAGGAGAUAUAAGCACAACUGUUUCUGAUUUUAAAACUUGCCACAGGGAGUAAGUGAAUCACAGUAAAGCUGCUGUGCUGUAAACAGCAUUGCAAGUAAUCUGCUAAAACAUCAAGGCCCCCGCAAUCAAAAGGCCGACAGUCACGACUGAAGUUACUGAAACAUAAGAGAAUUUCAAUUGCAUCAAUAUUUUAAAGGAAGCCAAGUCAAAUACUAGUUUGAGUUCAGCGAUACCAAUAAUUACUAAAUCGUAUCAAGACACAAUUUAUAGAACAUCCAAGAGUCUUGUAGAACAAUGAUACUGCAUUUUUAAAAAUCCAGGCAUUUAUUUCAUCAUGUCACACAUUUUCUUAAGUACUUACGUUCCUUAGAAGCACAAAUGUCAUUGAUUUCAAGUGGUGUUUUUGCUUCUAGAUCACUUAGGGGCUUCUAAAUAUCUCACUUUCUGGCUUAAGUUUCUUAAACAUGCUUCUCGUGUUUUGGGUAAUUAUUUCACCUAAAGAGCUCCUGAAGAUUUUUUUUAACCUCACUUCUAUAACAGCUGCCAGUGCAGUUGGUUUUGCUUAUGAAAAAUAACAAGACUAACAUAACAUAUCACUUUUUGAAAUCUAAACAUACUACAUGUCUGAACAGUGAAAAAUCCUAGGCUGUCAUCUCGAGGUUUUAUUUAACUCAAAGAAACCCAUAAUAAAAUGCUAUACACAGCAAAACUAAAAUCAGACAUUGUGUAUUUGAUAAAACUAUCAGGUGUUGGUUGUUUUAAACGAGCACGUUUGAUUCAAUACUCAGCCAUUCAGAAAUUAGGAAUCUGCUUAUUAGACUCUUGGCAGACUUUAUAAAAAGCUGCCAAAACUUUAUUUCCGCUGACAUGUUUCACAGUCCCAUUUAACCCUAAAAGAGUUGAUUAUGUGGAUUUGGAAAGCUAAUUUAUUCUGUUUAGAGCUUCUUUGUGCAGCUCCAAGAAUAAACAGACACUUACUGAAAUUUCCAAAUGUUUCAAUACAAUCCCACUUCACUUGACCAUUACACUGCAGAAAAUUUCAUUUGUGCAAGAAGUGACCUGAAUUCUAUUGAUCCUAAAAAAAAACAAACAAAAAAAAUGAAGAGAGGUAAGUUAGGUCCCACCACCACCUAAAUAAACCAACCCCCUCCCAAAAAAUAAACUUAGGCAGGGAAUAUACCACUGAAUAUGGUUACUUCAUUAGAAACAUCCCUUAAUUUGGGUCUGUAUUUUACCUGAUGUGUAGCUAACAGCCUUGUUAUUUAUCAUGUCUUAACGUAAACACUUUGAAGCUGUUGCUACUCAGUAAUGUUCAUUACAAAUAGUCCCUGUGGGAAUCACCAGCUUAUUUCAUUAAGACUCCUGCCUGCUGUUAAUUGCUUUUAGGAAAACAUGAACAAAUUAACUGUGUUUUAAGACACAGUGGUGUAAAUUUAUAUGCUUGUGUGUUUGAUAGCUGGGGACUAACGAUGUUCCUGAUAUUCUGCUGUUGCACUACACUAUAUGAUAGUUGGCAGCACUAGCCUGUUGUAAUCAAUAACGGUGCUACCAAGGUUAAAAGAACAAAAUAUGGUUUGCAAACCAUAGUGUUUAUCAUGCUGGCUGAGACACAGUGUCAUUCUGGGUCAUGUACAAUAAUGUUUAAGAAUCUCUUGUGUGAAAGAAAUUAUGCUCUUUAGUAGGAAUUACUGAUGUAUAUUAACUGAGCAAAUUAAAAAAUCCAAGGUAUUUUUUUUACUAUGACAGUGGCAUGAACAGGAUGUGACACCUCACUGUUGAAAACAAGGGUUUUCCAUAGUUAAAUGAAGUAUGUGGCCUUGUACAGACCGUGAUAGCAUUCAGUUAAAAUAGCAUAAUAAAGAGUAAUUUAAAUGUUUUCAUUCAAAACAUAGUAGAGACAGCCUGCAGUACAAUUUUCACAAGGAAUGAUAAAGCAAAAAGAAAAUUACAUCACAUUUGCAACAAAUAGUGUUAAAAAAUAAAGUUAUUUAUUAUUACAAAAACCUAUAGCAUGAUAUGACGUUCCUGCUACUUAACUGGGCUUCAUCACAGUUGCAUAAAUAAAGUCCCUUGGAAAAUAUGUCUGCAAUCCAAAAAUCAAAAGGAAUUGGGUAAAGAGUAGUCUGGGCAUUUAUUUAUGCGUCAUUAAAGAAAUAAUUAUUUUCUCCCCUAUUAGCACAAUGGAUCCUGGGCGUCUCAUUUGUAUGUGCAGUACAAACCUCUGACUUUUCGGGGAACCAACAUUUCAAAUUCAGAUAGAUGUCUAAAAAUGGGCAAUGCGAUUGUCAUUAAAAUUAUUAUUUAGUCACUUGAUCUCAAAGAAAAACAAAAAAAGAGACUUGUAACCAAGGAGUGGGAUACUAAAAAUGCUGGGACUGUUUCUUCUGCAGGGUAAGAACAAGAUGACACUCAGAACUGGAAGUAAGUGAACUGCACACUGAUCAAAGAUAAUAGUACGACACAGAAACAGAAGCAUUACCAUUAAUCACAGGACUAUUCAAAUAUUCAAGAAGGAUUAGAAUUUGUAUGAAUUACAGGAAUGUUCAUUGAUGAUAGUGUGGGGAAAAAAAAUAGAAUUAGGGCAAUGUAAAAACUGGAUCUAAACAUGGGUUCCUUUGAGGCUAAAGCCAAUUGCUACUUAUUAGGCAUAAGGGAAAAACAAGCAGAUUGCCCUAAUUAUUCUGUUGAAUGCUCUACUGAAGCAUCUGUGACUGGCAUCUCCUGGGAACUGGAUACUGCACUUGAUGGCCUCCAGAUCUAAUCCAGCAUGGCCAUUUCCUCAAUUCCAGCUGAAUUAAUAUCACCUAAAUUCUGCAUCUUAGAUAUGAAAAUUAUGCUGGAGCUGCAUUGGAUCACAUUAUUUAUGUUUCAGUAACUCCUUGUAAUAUUGAUCUUAAACCAUAUUCCUCAUUUAAUAAAUAGUCCUGCAGACUUCAUUUAAACCAAAAAUGUAUGAUCAGGCAAAUGCAUGCUUGCAGCAGCAAGGAGCCAAUGGGCUCAAAACAAGCAUGGUGUUUAUAUUCAUGCUUAACUACAUUUACAGAAAAUUGUGUUGUGGAUGCUGAAAAUAUUUUGGACUGUGCUGUGUCUUAAGGAUCAUUCAGUCUGUGUUGAAGAUAUUUAACUAAUGAAGUAUAAAUUAAUUACACUUGUAAAGCACUUUGUCAUGCUGUAAGCGAAUACUAAGUAUUCACUUUCUGUUAUUAAAUCAAUAGCAACUAGGUUAUAACACUAACAGAGUAAAAACACUCUAGGACUUCACAGACAUGCUUGUGUUAAUUCACCCACUUUAGAGAUCAUGCGAAGAGAACUUGACUGAGCCAUACUAUUUCUAGGUUGAUUUAACUGCUUUACCAAAAGCUUACAAAACUACAGAGUCCAAUGUAUACCAGAAACAGUUGGAAACUAAGUUGCACUAAGUCCUCCAGUGUAAACCAUUUCUGAAAUAUGAUUUUUUUUUGUAAAUGUAGUGUUGCAGAAUGUAAGGAAAAAUAUUUCAUUUUUCCAAGAUUCCAAGCAUAUUAGAAUAUGUUGUUAGUACUGAAUCUUCUACAAAUCUUAAGAAAUAUGUGGUCACCAUACAUUUGAGUAAUUGCAGUGAGUUCCAAUAUACUAUAGUUAAUAGUUCAAGAAGCAUAUGUUUUCCACUACAGUCAUUAAUCAUUCUAAUAAUAGUAUUCUGUGUGAGCUCAGCCAGAUCAGAACCAUCAGUAAGUGUUAAAACUGUUGUUACGAGGUCCUGAACAGAUUGCAAGUGACAAUGGCACUCAGUUCACAUUUCAAGUUUCAAGUCUGUCAUAAUAAACAGUAUUAAAAAUCUCACAUCAGCUUCUCACCAGAUUCUCAGAAAUAGAUUAAUAAAAAUAUUUGAUCAGACACACAAACCUAAAUUAUUAUAUUAUUACCCCAUAUACAUUGAGCCUACAACACAAGCUUACAUUUUUUUACAUUAAUUAUAGAACUGCAUCCCACACUAUUACAAAUCAGACACUGGCAAUACUCUCUAUAGAAUGCUUGGCCUUCUUUGUUAGAGCCUGAGGGAACAAAACAUUCCCCCCCAGAACAAUGUUUUUUUUCAGUUUAUAUUAAAUAGGAAGAUUACCUGCAAGUUGAUGUUCCUGAUUUUAAAGGGGGAAUAAUGACAAAUGAGCAUGACGAGCCGUGCUCACUGCGUAGUUACCUAGGAAAAAAAAAAAAAAAAGAAAAGUGCUGUUUCAUGUUACUGGAUAAUUGAGUUUGCUUGUGAAAAAAAAAGAAGGAAUUUCACUUUACUUACCCCUGGCCUUGCUCUCUCACUGUUUUUCUUGCACUGGAUCUAAUUAAUGAUCAUGCAGCCAAUAAGGUGAGUUGGUUGAGCUGAUACGACAGAAAUCCACAGAACAAAUUAACAGCUUUCUAAUAAAUCUACAAACUGAACAGAUUCCCCUCAAAGGCAUGUGCUCAGUAGCCUCAGUGCAAAGGGAAGGAAUCCACAACUGAACCAUGAUAACGUCUACUCAAAGUUAUGCUCAAUUUAGAGUAAUGUUAAACCACAUUUUGAAUUUGAGAUGACGGAAACAUAAUAAUGCAAUUCUGUCUUGAUUGUGGCUAGUAAUGUGGCUUACAGAGAUUGCCAAGAAGUGGCACAUAAAAACCUGUGAACCAGCUUUCAUGCACUAAUUCUGCAAGAGGUUCUAUAAUCAGGAUGUCUGAUGAAAAAGACCACAGAGGGAACCUCGUGACAGUCCCCCACAAGUCUUUAUAUUUCUAAGGAGACACAGUAAAUACUGCUCUUUCUGAAAAGUACUCUAGUGGUGCCAAAAUGUCACAACAGCAACAAAAUCCAGAAGAGUUUUUUCACCACAUUAGUAAAGCAUUAUCACAUAGCAAAAUGAAAUAAAUAUACCCUUUAUCUCAAUCUAGCCUCCCACUAAUCCUGUUUUCAGUCUGCAUAUGGAUGUCUCCAAGAAAGUCCAGAGCAGAAACUAGACAGUAAAUGGAUAUUAUAUUACCAAUGUCAGCUUUUAAAUUGUUUAUGUCAGAAUCAAAUGUGAUAUAACCUUCCCAUUUUAUUUGACAAUGAAUUGAAAAGGUUUUAAAAUCGUAGUGGCUGCAUAUGGAAAUGUGGAUUUUAAAAACAGUACUUUUGUCAACCAUACAUAAGCAUUUCUAUAUAUUUGAGAAAAGCAGAAUUAAUCUGGCCUUCUGUUUUAUAAUUGCAAAAGAAAAUAUACUGUAACUUUUCUGCUUGUAA